CCUACGGGAGGCAGCAGUGGGGAAUAUUGCACAAUGGGGGAAACCCUGAUGCAGCGACGCCGCGUGAGUGAAGAAGUAUUUCGGUACGUAAAGCUCUAUCAGCAGGGAAGAAAAUGACGGUACCUGACUAAGAAGCCCCGGCUAACUACGUGUCAGCAGCCGCGGUAAUACGUAGGGGGCAAGCGUUAUCCGGAUUUACUGGGUGUAAAGGGAGCGUAGACGGCAGCGCAAGUCUGGAGUGAAAUCCCAUGGCUUAACCAUGGAACUGCUUUGGAAACUGUGCAGCUAGAGUGCAGGAGAGGUAAGCGGAAUUCCUAGUGUAGCGGUGAAAUGCGUAGAUAUUAGGAGGACCACCAGUGGCGAAGGCGGCUUACUGGACUGUAACUGACGUUGAGGCUCGAAAGCGUGGGGAGCAAACAGGAUUAGAUACCCCAGUAGUC
rnacentral:rRNA from 1 species